rnacentral:rRNA from 1 species
UAACAGAAAGUAGCUUGCUACUUUGCUGACGAGCGGCGGACGGGUGAGUAAUGCUUGGGAACAUGCCUUGAGGUGGGGGACAACAGUUGGAAACGACUGCUAAUACCGCAUAAUGUCUACGGACCAAAGGGGGCUUCGGCUCUCGCCUUUAGAUUGGCCCAAGUGGGAUUAGCUAGUUGGUGAGGUAAUGGCUCACCAAGGCGACGAUCCCUAGCUGGUUUGAGAGGAUGAUCAGCCACACUGGGACUGAGACACGGCCCAGACUCCUACGGGAGGCAGCAGUGGGGAAUAUUGCACAAUGGGCGCAAGCCUGAUGCAGCCAUGCCGCGUGUGUGAAGAAGGCCUUCGGGUUGUAAAGCACUUUCAGUCAGGAGGAAAGGGUGGUGGUUAAUACCCGUCAGCUGUGACGUUACUGACAGAAGAAGCACCGGCUAACUCCGUGCCAGCAGCCGCGGUAAUACGGAGGGUGCGAGCGUUAAUCGGAAUUACUGGGCGUAAAGCGUACGCAGGCGGUUUGUUAAGCGAGAUGUGAAAGCCCCGGGCUCAACCUGGGAACUGCAUUUCGAACUGGCAAACUAGAGUGUGAUAGAGGGUGGUAGAAUUUCAGGUGUAGCGGUGAAAUGCGUAGAGAUCUGAAGGAAUACCGAUGGCGAAGGCAGCCACCUGGGUCAACAC